GUACGACUAAUGUGGAUGCAGUGGAACAAAGUCUUUUGGAGAGGGAUAGGGUGCUAUCUGUGGUCAAUUCCAACUUGGUGAGGGCUCAAAACAGAAUGAGAAUGCAAGCAGAUAAGAAGAGGAGUGAGAGACAAUUUGCAAUUAGAGACUCAGUGUAUUUGAAACUGAUACCAUAUCAACCGCAAUCACUGGCACCACACGGUUAUCACAAGUUGCAGCCGAGGUAUUAUGGUCCCUAUGAGGUGAUAGAGAAGAUUGGUCCAGUUGCAUACAGAUUGAGGCUCCCUGUGGAAAGUAAAAUACAUCCAGUGUUCCAUGUGAGUAAUCUCAAGAGGCAGUUGGGUUCCAAUAAUGUGUUGCAUUCCACACUCCCUCAGGUUUUAGAGGAUGGACCAUCUCAGACCUUUCCACAGAAGAUUCUAGCUCGAAGGAUUUAUAAGAAGGGCAACUCAGCAGGUGUGCAAUUGCUGGUCCAGUGGGUUGAUUAAGAAGAAGCUGAUGCCACUUUUGGGAAGAUUUUGAUGAUUUCCAAGCCGAGUUCCCAGAAUUUCUCCGAAACCCCGCAACCUUAUCACAGAGCUACGGGGGUUCUUCGCCAUCGCCGCCUGUGUAAAGCUGCUUCUAAUCCCAGCCUACAAAAGCACAAACUAUAAGGUCCACUGCCAUAGGCUAGCUACAACCCACCUCUGCCUCUUGCCCAUUGGUACACUGACGAGACGAGCAUUGGACCCUCGACUACCCGCCAUUCUUUACCUACAUCGAGCUCUUCCUUUCCGUUUUCGCCAAUCUCAUCGACCCACAAAUCGGUCACCUCCAAAAGGGCUUGAAAUACAGCUCAAACGCAGUGCUUUCCUUCCAAAGAAUCUCGGUUAUCUUAUCAGAUUUGUGCCUUUUGUAUGGGGUUUAUCGAUUUAGUAGGAAUUGGGAUUCGAUGAAGCGAAAGAUGAUCUGGGUUCUGGUGGUUUGGUCGCCAAUGCUUAUUAUUGUAGACCGUUUGCAUAUCCAGCACAAUGGGUUUUUGCUUGGGAUUUUGUUGAUUUCGCCUUCGCGUUUGGAGGAAGGGAGGGACUUUACUGGUGGGCUUGUUUUUGCUAUGUUGUUGUGCUUCAAGCAUUUGUUUGCGGUUGUGGCGCCUAUUUAUUUUGUUUACUUGUUGAGGCAUUAUUGUUGGAAAGGAUUGGUGAGGGGUUUUUGGCGGCUUUCGGUUUUGGGGCUGUUGUUGUGGCUGGCUGGUUUUACAUUGGCAUAUGGCCCGUUUGUGUAUCAUGGGUAGGGGACUUUGCCAUGCCUAUUGGGCGGGCACCAAAUUUUUUGGUGUUCUAUAUCAUACUAGAUAAAGUGCUUGCUUUCGUUCUUGGAAGACUUGAUUCAACACUAAGGCACCAGCAGCAUCAUUCACUGGUGGGCUAGUUGGAGAUUCAUCCCCUUUUGCUGUACUAGCUCAGGUAAUUCUUAAUGGGCAACUGGAAGGAGGUGCAAUAUACUAGGAUAACAUUUCAGUUUAUCAAAUCAAAUGGGCAAACAAAACUCCUCGGUUGGAUGGUGCUGCUUGUUGACUGUUCCGACAUCAUGUAAUUUUGAAUAGGCGGUAGGUUUAUAGUCAGCUCUCUAUAAACCCUACGCUCUAGAACUAGCAAAGCAAUUAAGUAACUAAAGACUUCCCAAUGCCCAAUUCAAUUGUUUAGCUUGAGCGUACGACCAAACGGAAGGAAGAAAGCUCUUCACCCCCUGUUAGUAUGUUGAGUGCUCUUGAUUGAUGAGAAGAUAUAUUCUAUUUAACGUAUUCAGAACUAGGUUAUUUUAAUUGAGAGAUACAGUUUUUUAUUUCUUCAUAUUCUUAAAUGUUUUGAGUGGGGGUUAUCAGCUUCA